rnacentral:lncRNA from 1 species
GCACUAAAUAAAUUGAUUUUUUUGACUAAUUAGCUAAAUUUCCCUUUUUUCAAUCCCAACAAUUUCCAGCCCACUCCAACCUCGACCCAGCCCAAAUUCUUUUUCUCUUCACAAAAGAGAACCUAACACGUUUAGCAGCUUCCCAACGACAUCGAUACACGAUAUUUUCACAGCGUCAAAACGAACCAACAAAAACAGCGCGUGAACGACUCCAAAACCACCUUAUACGCGCCUCACCUCUCCUCAUGCGAGAACAAGUAGUAGCAACGGUCACAAGAAAUACACGACAGAUUAUACGAUGUCAAAUUUUAUACUCGCUUUCUCCUUUUUGCUUUGCCAGAAGUCAUACAGCAGCGGUCAGUCGACUUGUUCAGUCUGCAGUUCACGUAUUCGUCCUUGGGGGCUGGGAGAUUGACCCACGUCGCGCCCUAAAGACGAUGGAAUUGAUUCCAGCCGUUCAACCCCCUCCCCCCCCUUUCCUCUUUUGAAGCGGGUUGAAUUCUCAAAGAAAAGGUGUUCAUCCUAAAAUGGUGAAAGAUUUUAAAAUUCGAAAUUGAAAUGGAUCUUUUCUCAUCUAAUUUCAUUCACUUUCCCCAAAAAUCAACUCUAGAUUUUCCCUCUCUAUAUAAGCGCCUGUUUUGCUCCAUUAGAGGGGUUGGAGAUUUUUGAUUGAAAAAAAAGGGGUGUUGAAGAAUUUUGUGUUGGUGAAAAUACAGGAAGUUAGCUAAGUGAUGAAAGAAAAAGAUAUAUUUAAGCCAAAGGUUUCCUAGAAAAUUUUCCGAUUCGGUCUUUCUGUCAUCUGUUUUGCUUUGUUGGUUCAAGUUUUUUUGGAGUCGUUCUUCGGUGUAGUAGUUGCUGUCCAUCUCUUCGCUCCAACCCAGUUCGCUGCCCACAAAAAGGUUUGGUUUGUAACAAAAAAAGAAGUAUAUGAAGUUGGUUGCAUAUAAUAAGAGUUUGACAUAUGGAUUAAAACAUGAUGGCGGAUCUCUUUGCAAAGGAAGAUGGUAGAAAGAAAAAAAAUGAAGCAUAAUUUGAGAUUAUUUUUUCACUUUGAAUUGUAUUAGCAACUUAGUUAGUUUUGUUAGAGUUUUUUAAAUUUGGAUUUAUAUAAAUAAUUUAACUAAUUGUAUUAUAUUGUCAAUGUUAA